AUAAAAGGAAUUUCAACAAAGAAUUGAAACAAGGAAAGAUUGAACUAGGUAAUUGGUAGUAAAAGAGUGACGAAAGAUACCAAAGGGACAGUCAAACUCAUAAAUCGAAAAUAAACUGACAACGUCAUGGCUAAAAAUGAAAAAGACAAACAAAAGUACACAUGAUACGACAUCGAAAACUAAAGAAUAAACAACACGAACCCCAC
rnacentral:lncRNA from 1 species